UACGUAGGGGGCUAGCGUUGUCCGGAAUCAUUGGGCGUAAAGCGCGUGUAGGCGGUCCGGUAAGUCCGCUGUGAAAGUCGGGGGCUCAACCCUCGGAUGCCGGUGGAUACUGUCGGGCUUGAGUACGGAAGAGGCGAGUGGAAUUCCUGGUGUAGCGGUGGAAUGCGCAGAUAUCAGGAGGAACACCGAUGGCGAAGGCAGCUCGCUGGGACGGUACUGACGCUGAGGCGCGAAAGCGUGGGGAGCAAACAGG
rnacentral:rRNA from 1 species